UUAUGUGUAGUAAAUAUAAGGAUCCAUUCCAGAGGCCCUAUUAUCGAUUUUUUCAACAAACUGAGUAUGCCAUGAUGUUUCCAGACAUGAGUUCUACUCACGUG